UUUGGUAACUCUCUUCCUUGCUUAUCCAAUUUAAAAAUCAUCUGCAUGUAUUGGUAACUACAAGCUGCUAAAGAGCUUUCAAUGUAUAAAGUUGUCAUUUGUCAAAGGAGAGAGUAGAGCUAACUGGGAGUGAAGGUAGGUGUACUGUCCAAAUUAAGUGGGUAUUGACCUGGACUCGAGUAUUUGAAUUUCAGAUGCUCAUUGUAAUACCAAGGGCAACUGCUGAUAAAACAAUUUAAAAAAUACCAAGAACAAAGAAAUGAACAUCACGCUAGGAAAUAUCUACCUAGCACCCCCCCCCAAAAAAGGUAUUCAUGGAGAGACUGAAGAACAAAACUCAUAAGACAUAUGGAAAGCAAGUAGAAAAUGCAAGAUCUGAAUCCCACUUCAUCAAAAGUUACGUUAAACGCAGAAUGAUUAAACAAUCAAAAGGCAGACACAGGCAAAAUGAAAAAUUUAAAUCAUUCAACAGUAUGCUGUCUACCAGAGACAUUUUAAAUUCAAAGACAAGGGAAAUCAUGAAAACAAUUCCACUUGCAAUCACCUCAGAGAAUAUGAAAUAUUGGGGCUGGGACUGUGGCUCAGCGGUAGAGCGCUCGCCUAGCAUGGGCGGGACCCAGGUACGAUCCUCAGCACCCCAUAAAAAUAAAAGUAUUAGUGUUGUGUCCAUCUACACCUAAAAAAUAAAUAUUUUUUAAAGUAUAAAAUAUGUAGGAAUAAGUUCAACAUAAGAAGUGGAAGACUUGUACACCAAACACUGCAAUGUGAGGGCCUGAGUCAAUGGGAAAACAUCCCAUGUUCAUGGAUGCCAAGACUCCUAGGGCUAAGACAGCAGCAUCCUCAACUGAUCUGCAGAGCCCAGGCAGCCUCUAUCAAAAUUCUAGCUGCCUCUUUUCCUAGAAACUGAAGACCCUAUUUUAAAAUUCACAUGGAGGGGCUGGGGCUGUAGCUCAGUGGCAGAGCGCUUGCCUAGCAUGUGUGAGGCGCUGGGUUCGAUCCUCAGCACCACAUAAAACUAAACAAAUAAAAUAAAGACAUACCGUUCAUCCAUCUACAACUACAAAUUUUUUUUAAAAAUUCAUAUGGAAAAGCAAGGGAUCCAAAAAUAGCCAAAACAAUUCUGACGGAGAAGAACAAAGGUGGAUUCCUGAUAAACUCGUGCUCCCAGCCCAGCAGUCCAGAACCCAUGGCACUCACACAGGCACUGAGGUGUGAACCAGGGGACAGACUGGGUGCCAGGAACAGACACCUAGUCAAUUGAUUUUUUAAUGAGAAUGACAGGCGAUUCAAUGGAGGAGAGUAGUUUUUUCAACAGAUGGUGCUGGACGUCCACAUGCGAAAGAACAAACCCAGAGUCAACCGUGUGAACCUUUCUGUUCCUGUAAAGCACGAGGCAGUCCAUUUAUACAGAGUUUCCCGCCCAGGGUCAGUUAGCCCUGCUGCACUCAGGCCAGUGGGGAGGCAGCGCGUCACGGCAGGAGCACAGGGUGGAGCCAGGAAGUGAGAGAGGGAAAAAGCAAGAGGCCAGGGUCCACUCUCCCCAUGGCAAGAGGCCACGCCCCCAAUGACCUAAAGAUCUCCCACUAGGCCCCACCCCUUAAAGGCACCACCACUUCCCAUCAGGGCCAUGGGCUUGGGACCCCGAUAACACAUAGGCCUUUGGGGGACAUUCCAGAUCCAACUAUCACAAUGUACAAAAUUAACUCAAAAUUGAUUGAAGGCCUAAAUGUGAAAACUAUAAUCAUGAAAGUCUCAGAGGAAAACAGAUGUAAAACUCCAUGAGCUUGGAUCAGGCUCUUGUUUGUUAGGUAACACAUCUAAGGCACAAGGAAGAAUAGGUAGACUGGAUUUCAUUCAAGUUAAAACUUCUGUACAUUAAAAAAAAAAAAGACAAAACUAGGCAGAGAAUAGGAGAAAAUAUUUGUGAGUCAUAGAGCUGAUAAAGAACUACAUCAAACUCUCACUGCUCAAUAUUACUAUUCAACAAUAAAAAGACACCGACAUUUUUGGAAUGGGCCAAAAACUCAAACAGACGUUUCUUCAAAGGGAAACAUAGACGUAUGACUGCUAAGCACAAAAAGAUACUGGGCUUCGUUCAUCAUUAGGGGAAUGCAAUCGUAACCAUGAAUAAGAAUAAUCUCUUCACACAGAAAUCCCUCUAAUUCGGUAAAAUGUAUCUACUAAAAACCUGAAGGGUAAAUAUCAUAUGCAGUAUGUAAUACAGUGGUAAAAAUAUAAUUCAAGUCAAAAAUGAAAUAUGUAUGCCUACUGUAUGGGCUUUUGCAGCAUUUUUCUAGAGAUUCUAGCUAGCAAUCUAAAACCAGGGGAAAAAUCAGAUAAGGAGUUUUCAAAAAAGAAACAAAAGAUAUCGUUGUUGGUGGCUGGAAUAAUUGUUUCCGCCGAAAAUCCAAGAUGAGCUACAAUUAGAACCAGCAAAUACUGAAUAAAGUUUCUGGGCAAAACUCAACAGUGUCCUUCUCUGUCCCCCCAAAUCAGAAAGUGUAACUGAAAGAAAGUUUCCAGUCAUAAAAGCAAGAAAAACUGUAAGUCACUUGGGAAUAAAUCCAAUGAAAGAUGCGAGAGACCUUUAUGGAGAAAAUUAUGAAGUUACCUAAGAAUGUGGAAGACCCGCCCCUCCAAAUGGAGAAAUAUAGCACGUUCACGCUCCACGCUUGGGAAGACUCGGGUUACACAGGCUCAGGGCUCCUCCAGAUGAAUCUAGAAAUUCACUGCAGUUGCAAUUCAAACCUCGGCGGAGCUCCUGGCAGAGCCUGACAACCUGAUUCCAACGUUAAUCUGAAGUGGGUAAGGGCAGGAGGAGCCAAAAUAAAGAACAGCAAGAAAGAACUCUCUCGACCACUUCUAAAGACCCACGACAAAGCCACAAGAUGGCACAUUCGAUCCCCGGUGCCGGAGAAGAGAGAGAAGGAUUCACAUCAUGGGAGGACCAUGAAGAGAGACACGUGGAUCGUGGAGCAGACCAGACACCCAGGCAUUUGUGAGGGUCUUGGGGGGGGGGGCGGUCAAAGGCAGCUGCGUCUCUGUGAAGAGAAAGUGGAGCCUCCAACGGUGUCAGAGAGCUGGCUGGUCCCAGGGGGGAGGUCUUCACUGGAUCCCUACCUCACACCGCACCUAGAGAGACAUUCCUGAUAGAGCAAAACCAAACUUUAAAGCUAUUCUAAGGAAGUUUAGUGGAAUAUCAGGAAAAGUUUCCCUAAACAAAUAGCAAAAGAUACAGAUUAUCAUGGGAAAAAAAAAAAUCUUAAGUCGACCACACGGAGGACUGGAAGUUCUGUGUGCCAACACUGUCGCACGACACAGUUGAAGUACGACCCAUCCGUGAGACGUUGCAGCAGUCAGAGAAUAGAAUUUGGUAUCUAUAGAACUCUCAUAAACUCAAAAGGGAAAGACACCCUCAUCUGGAAGAAGGAACUGGUGUGCAGCCCAGGGGUCAAGCACUUGCAUGUAUAAGGCUCCAGUUUCCGUCCCCAGCACUGCCAGAAAAUAAAAAUAAUUUUAAUUUUUUAAAAAAUAUUUAUUUCUUAGUUGUACACAAUACCUUUAUUUUGUUUAUUUUUGUGUGGUGCUGAGGAUCGAACCCAGGGCCUCACACGUGCUAGGCGAGUACUCGACUGCUGAGCCACAGCCCCAGCCCCUAAUUUUAAUUUUUUAAAAAUCAAAUAAAAGAAAGUACCACAAUUAGACAAUGAAAAUGAUCAACAAAUACAUGUUAAAAAUGAAACUUCACUAAGAAGCUGGAAAACAAUGUUUUUUUUAAACUUAAUUCCAUUUCAUACAGAUCAUAUUGGCCCCCCAAAAAUUCAGUGCCCCAAUGCCCUCCAGCCGGGAUCUUUCAUGCUACUAGAAUUGUGGUUGGGAUGAUCACUCUAGAACACAAUUUGGUGGUAUGCAUUAAAGAUAAGCAGGCACCUGUUCUAGCACUUUUACUGUUAGGUAGAGACCUAGAAAACCCAUGCAAGACAUUGAUUGGGACUGAAAAGAAGAAAACCAGAACAUUCUUCCCUGAGGGGACUGUUGUUCUAACGUGCCAUGCCAGUCUGGUGGAAUAUUACACAGCUGUGAAAAUGGAACCCUUUAUCUGAUUUUUUCCCAGCUUUAGAUGGCUAGCUAGAAUCUCCAGACAUGUGAAUAUCAGCCCACAUGGACUCACAAGGUACCAGGUGAAGAUUUCACACUAGAGAUGGCUAAAUUCAGCGUCUCAUUCCUGCAAGAUGCCUUUAAACACACAAAAGCCACUGUAUAUUGUUCAUAUGUACAAACACAUCUAGAAAAACAAAAGAAAAAUAGAAAAACAUGAGCAGGAAGGAUUUAAAAAAUUCAUGGUCACGAUCGCCUCUGAGGAACGGGGAAGGAGCGUGGUAAUAAGGAAGGGAACGAGGAACCUCAUCAUUAUUCCUUUCUUGCUUUGUUUGUCGCAGUGCUGAGACCAGAAGUCAUUUUAAGAUUUUCUUCUUUUACCAAAGACAGUGAGUCCAGUGGAGCAGACGUCAGCUUUCAUGAACUUGAAGUGGGGAGCAGACGGGACUUUCUUCCUCCUCCCUCCCCCCCUUCCACCUGCCCAUCCAAUAAGAAGACGUAGCGCUGGCCUCUGCUUCCUACAGGUGGGGAGAAGAAGAAAAAGCUAAAACAAAUCUUUCUCUUUUUUUCUUAACACCUUCUCCUCUGUAUCUGGGAAUCAGGACGGGGAGGGUCCUGGGAGCCACUCUUUGAUGGGGUUUUGAUGGAUGAAUAGAAGUUCUCCUUUGUGGACCAGGGAAGGGUGCAAAGAGGACCGUCCAGGGCUAGGAGGGUUUAAAAAGCUCAGUGCCAGUGGUUUGAAUGUCGCCAAAAUAUGUUGGAAUGUGGCCUUGUGACCAUUUGACCUUGAAUCCCCUUCUCCCAGAUCUGUGAAUACAACAUCUUUUUCCCUUGUAAACGGCCCAGUCUGCAGCGUUCAACUAGAGCAAGGGAGAGCAGGAGAGCAGCCCAAGGUCCUCGGAACCUACACAGUGGUGACGUUGCUCGCUCAGAGUUGAUGAGCAGCCGGGAGCGGGUGAGAGAGUGGGCUGGCUCCUGGGGGGACCGGUGAGCCAGGCUGAGGGUCUCAGACUUCACCCUGCGGGCACCGGGAACUCUGGGUUGACAGCGUCCUUCCCGUGGGACCCUGUGGCCUCCACUUCCUGCACGUCAAGGUUAAGAAAAAGUCCCACCCCACUGAGACGAUUCAGGUAUCUGCCAUUCCCACAGAGGGACCGUCCCUCUUGUCACUCUCCCUUCUUAAAGAGCAGCCACAUCCGUGGGGUGACAACAGACCACUGGGCCCUGAUGGACCAGAUACGAGGGACAGCAGCUCAGGAACGCCUGGAGACCUGGGCACCCAGCCUCACUGCAGCCCCUCAAGCAGAGACAAAGUCCCUGGACCAGGGCAGCUGAGCUGCGAGCCGCACUCCUGCCCUCCAGGGUCUAGGUCCAGCCAGCCCAGGGGCCACCGCGGGUUACCUGGACCCUCCUGCUCACCACACUGGAAGCAGCAAAGGAUACGGCCAGGCUUGUCUUUUAAGGCCUGGACGGUGGCGGGGCAGGACCAUGUGAUGACUCCCGAGAGUCUUGGCCUCUCCCUUCCUGGGCCCCUUCUUCAUGAAAAAUAAAGGCGAAUAUAUUAAUGUUAUGUAUUAUCUUCUACUUAAAAGGGUUUUUUUUUUCCUUCUAAUUUUAAAAGAAACUAAACUAUCCUCAUGGGCCCCUGGCACUGUGCCUACCGUGCCUAAUGGACAAUUCAGCCUUGGGGACCAGGAGCAGGGAGUCCACACAGGAGCCAUCACAACAGUCACUGGGGUUGGUCCUGAUGCAGUCGCCAUGGUAAUGAAGAGGCAGGAGCAGGAUGUGGGGAGCCAGGACCGGAGUGAACACAGAUGCUCCCCGAGAAGGAUAAAG
rnacentral:lncRNA from 1 species